ACAAGAAUAUAACUUUAAAGAGAAACGUAUGAGUAAUGGGAAAAGAAAUGGAAAUGGGGGAAGGGAUUUAAGAGAUAUGAAUGAUACUUUUUCUAUCGUUAUAAUUGAUUUGUAUAUUGUCCCUCAUUUUUACUCUUU
rnacentral:ribozyme from 12 species